rnacentral:rRNA from 1 species
AUUGAACGCUGGCGGCAUGCCUUACACAUGCAAGUCGAACGGCAGCACGGGAGCAAUCCUGGUGGCGAGUGGCGAACGGGUGAGUAAUAUAUCGGAACGUGCCCAGUCGUGGGGGAUAACGUAGCGAAAGCUACGCUAAUACCGCAUACGAUCUAUGGAUGAAAGCGGGGGAGUCGCAAGACCUCGCGCGAUUGGAGCGGCCGAUAUCAGAUUAGGUAGUUGGUGGGGUAAAAGCCUACCAAGCCUUCGAUCUGUAGCUGGUCUGAGAGGACGACCAGCCACACUGGAACUGAGACACGGUCCAGACUCCUACGGGAGGCAGCAGUGGGGAAUUUUGGACAAUGGGCGCAAGCCUGAUCCAGCAAUGCCGCGUGCAGGAUGAAGGCCCUUGGUUGUAAACUGCUUUUGUACGGAACGAAACGGCUCUUUCUAAUAAAGGGAGCUAAUGACGGUACCGUAAGAAUAAGCACCGGCUAACUACGUGCCAG